GACGAACGCUGGCGGCGUGCUUAACACAUGCAAGUCGAACGGAAACUCCCGGCUUUUGUGCGGUCCUCUAGUUGCGAACUGGUAACUAACACGUAAGUUACCUACCCCUGCCUUUGAGAUAACUUCAUACAACUGAAGCUCAUACCGGCUAGGAUCUCUUGCUGCUUGGUGGGCGUUGGUAAGUUUCGGCGGUUGGGGAUGGACUCGCCUCUUAUUGGAUUGUUGGUGAGGUAGUGGCUUACCAUGGCUUUGACCGGUGGCCGGGCUGAGAGGGUGACCGGCCAAAUUGGGACUGAGAUAAGGCACAGACUCCUAUGGGAGGCAGCAGUGGAGAAUAGUGUACAAUGGGCGGAAGGAUGAUGCAGUAAAGCCGCGUGGGGGAUGACGGCAUUCGGGUUGGAAACCGAUUUCGCCUGUGACGAAGCGUGAGUGACGGUAAUGGGUAAAGAAGCACCGGCUAACUACGUG
rnacentral:rRNA from 1 species